UUUUUGGGGGGGGUGGCUUUUACUCUUGGCUGUGGCUGUGUCGGUCCAAUCUCUUUCUUUGAGGCUGCAGGGCAGCGGUCACGCCGCGCACGCGCCAACAGUUGGGGGCGCACGCCCACGCGCACGCUACGAGUGAUGGCAGCAGAGGUCACCCACGAGAGAGCGCUCGGAAGGAUGACACCGUGAUGCAGGGGGCCAUCUGUUCGGCGAAGGUCCCGUCACGACCGGUGGAGGAGCCACCGGCUGCCGGAAGCGAGGUGCGUUGCCUGCGUGUCCAGUGAGGUCUCUCGCCGCUCUCAACUGGACUCUUAAAACGCACGACAACUACUGUAUGUGGAUGGAGAUUAAUUAUUAUGUAAGGCAUCAGACUCGUGUAGCCUGUAGCCGCGUGCGCACAUGAGCAAGAAACUAAUCCCCUCUAGCAGUUGUAGUAGAGUUGCUCGGGGGCGGCAGCGUCUGCAUCGAGGCACAACUAAGCGCCCCUUUGGACUUGCGUGCCAUUAAAAUUGCGGCUCGUGGCGAGUUGAAAUGUUUUUGCCAAGUGAUCCGGGCGUCAGUAUGUGACGUCACACGUCGAAGCAACGAGUUUUGAUCCUGGCAACAGCUGGCAUCACAACAAUUGGGGGAACAAGUGAGGCAAGCUCCAUGAUGUCCCAGCUUGUACCUGAAACCGAGUCAUGUCAGGUUGCUGUAUUUGGGAGCCUUGUUGCCUGUUGCCAACAGCAACCUCUUCCUGCUAUUUGGACUAAAUCCUGCAAGUCUCAGCCUCAGGCCCCGUCAAGUCCACGAUGUGCAGGUGAAAAGUGAGAGGCCAGGAGUUGGCCUUUUAAACCCUCAAAUCCACUCUGAUUUCAUAAAAAGAUCCAAAAGGGAAUCAUCUCAAAUGCCACAUUUCAAUAUAUUAAAAAAAAAUGCCUUUAAAUAUUCGAGCUAAGCCGGCACAGAACAAGCUGUCUGCUGCGUCAAGUAGCGGUGGGCACGCAGAUGGCAAUGCAUCUCAUUCACGCUUUUCAAAGUCUGCAAAACAGGGCAAAGGUAAACAGGCCAAGACCACUUCGACUCCAAGUUGCCGCUCAGGACUUGAACCUGGCUCAGUUUCCACACCUGUUUCAAAAGUACCCAGAGGUCAAGGAUCAAUGUUGAGGCUUGGCCCGGAGAAACCUGCUGCAGAAACGCAUGCAAAAGAGACCAGUGGUUCAGCAACAGCUUCAAGAGGAAAAACUCUCUCAAUGGAGAACAUCCAGUCUUUAAAUGCAGCGUACGGCACUUCGGGCGUGUACUCCUGUGACCGGGAUAUUUUGCAAUCCUCUGGCGGUUACCCUAGAGGCACCAUGACACUCGGAAGGAACACCAGCCGCUUCUCCUACAGCGGUCGGUGCACCGGUGCAGGCAGCAGCCCGGAUAUCAACUCCACUGACCUCAAUCACCGCUCCAACCACUACGGCAAAGAACCAAACUUUCGCCCUGCAGGGACUUCCAGUCUGCAGCACCAUUCUGGGAGACGGUUGCAGGCGCUGGAUUCGGCUGGUCGCCGGGACCCUCCUGCAUCUGAUCUCCAGGACCAGCUGAGAGAGCUUCAGAGGGAAAAUGACAACCUAAGAAGGGAAUUGGACGGACGCAGGGAUGGAAGGACAGGCCACGGCGUGAACAACCCCAACUUCUGGAGUCCGGAUGUCAACAGGGACAAAAGCCUCAGGCGGGAGGAUGGAGAGAGGACUCCUGCCCUGAAGGACUAUGACGGGGCAGACCAAGAUACUGGUCAGAUUGAGGUUCCAUUGACUGUCCGGGAGCUCCAAGAGGAGCUGAGGGCCCACAGGGAGUUGAACACCCGCCUACAGCAAGGGACCUGUCGUGACAGCCGUAUGGACCUGGAUCACAAAGGAGGGCUCAGUCCUGGCUACAGUCUCCGAGAAAGUCCCAGCAAUCUCCACAGUCCUGGACCAAAGAACAGCCCGAGAGCGAGCCCGUCCAACACAUACGAUCCGGGGCCACGGGAAGCCGACGUCAUCGUGCACAGCUCUGGGUACAGCUGUGGCGGUCCAGUAGCUACACAGAGAGUCAGCCCAGCCGGCACCCCUCAUCCGGGGCCGAAGCGCAGUCCGACCGUCCCCCGCAGCUCCAAUUCUCUCCGGCCUUGUAGCCCUUGUCAAGUGCCGGGGUGUGACGGCUUCUCUUCGCCACCGCUGGAUCCAUCGCACGAGAAUUUCGUCCACCUGCAGUCAGAGCACGAGCGUCAGGCCAAGGAGCUGUCCCUGCUGAGGAGAACCAUGGAAGAGAUGGAGACAAGGAUUGAUUCUCAAAAACAGACGCUGGGUGCUAGAGACGAGAGCAUCCAGAGGCUCCUGGAGAUGCUUCAGAGCCAAGGUCAAGUUCAUGGACAGUGGGGCCGCGGGCACAGAACGGGCAUCUUAGCUAUGGUGGCACAGGAGACUGAAGCUCAACUUGAAAACAUGCACGUAAGAGAGGACACCAAGAUCUCUUCAUUGGAGAGGAACAUCCGAGACUUGGAAGAUGAGGUCCAGAUGUUAAAGACCAGCGGCCUGCUACAUUCUGACGACAGGCAGGAUGAGUUCAAACAGGUGGAAGUCAACAAGAGCCAUUCUAAAUUCAUGAAGACCAAGAUAGAGCAACUGAAGCAGGAGCUGAACAGGAAGGAGUCUGAGAUGCAGGCCCUGCAGACUAAACUAGAAACACUCACCAAUCAGAACUCAGACUGCAAGCAACACAUCGAGGUGCUGAAGGAGUCCCUCAACGCCAAGGAGCAACGUGCCAAUACACUACAGACAGAGGUAGAUGCACUCAGGGUGCGUUUGGAAGAAAAAGAGCAGAUCCUGACAAAGAAGAACAAGCAGCUUCAGGACCUAACGGAUGAAAAAAGCACUCUUACAGGGGAAAUCAGGGACAUGAAGGACAUGUUAGAUGUCAAGGAGAGGAAGGUCAAUAUCCUGCAGAAGAAGAUCGAGAACCUGUUGGAGCAGUUAAAGGACAAGGACAAACAGCUGACUGGGUUGAAGGAUCGGGUGCAAGGUCUUCAAACUGAUUCUAGCAACACAGACACAGCCCUUGCCACGCUGGAGGAGGCCCUCUCCGAGAAGGAGCGAGUUAUUGAGAACCUUCGGGAACAGAAGGAGCGGGCGGACAGGGUUCAACUGGAGGAGUUGGAGCGACUGUGGAAGGACAACCAAGAAUUGAAGGACAAGCUCACAGCCCUCCAACCUCCGAAACUGUCCCCCGGCCAGCCUCCUAUCCUGGGCCCAAACCAAAGCCUGAGGCCCGAUGGAGAGAUGCCAGCCACAAUGGAUGCGUUACCAGCUGUGAGCUCCACGGCCCAAAACCCAGAGGACACAUUGCGCAAGUGUCCCGACAUCGCCGAUCGCCUGAAGCUUCUGGAGCAGGAAGUGGCUCGCUACAGGGAAGAGUCUGGGAAGUCACAAGCGGAGGUCACGAGGUUGAUGGUGGCACUGAAGAACGCUGAGAUGGACAGAUCUGGCAAAGAGAAGAGAAUAAAUGAUCUUGAGAGGGAAAUCAAGUCCCCUCAUAUCCAAAAGCAAAUGGUGCCUUGUGAAAAAAGGAAAGAUGCACAGCCUGAUGGACAUCCACACUCUUUAUCGCAGCUGGAAGAGUUGAUUGGGGCCCUGGAGAAGACAAGACAGGAACUGGACGCGACAAAGUUGCAUCUGGCCUCCACUCAGCAGACCUUGCACGAGCAAGACGGACAUCUCAGCAGCCUGCGGCAGGAGAGACGCAAACAGCUGGAGGAGAUUCUGGAAAUGAAGCAACAAGCUUUACUGGCAGCUAUCAGUGAGAAGGAUGCUAACAUAGCCCUUCUGGAGUUGUCUCCCUCAAAGCGAAGGAAAGCCCAAGAGGAAGUGAUGGCUCUAAAGCGGGAGAAGGACCGUCUCAUGCACCAACUAAAACAGCAGACUCAGAGUAGAAUGAAGAUGAUGGCUGAUAACUAUGAGGAAGAUUGCAACAAGCGUCAACAUCAUCCUCACCAUUCUCUCCACUUGCACUCUGCAAGUAUACAUCACAGAAGACUCCCAAGAGGACCCCCGCAUGCCAACCACAGACUCCCUGUGGACCAGGAGGAUGAAGAGGGCAUUUGGGCAUGAUUCUGCAUCAGCUUUGGAUCAUUGUCAACAAAGGUCCCGCUUUCUGACACCGCCACCGCAGAGAACAACUUCAUGCCAACCACAGUGCCAGCUGACCGUCUUGUCCAGCCACAUUGCGUCUCUGCCUAAUGCCGCCAGCAUACCGCAGCCAAGGAAAGAAGCAUGCCAACCACAGAGUGCUGCUUGCCCAGCCAGGUAUCAAGAGGUCCAGGAGCUCCAGCGGCACAUUGGGGAUUACCGUGACACCCCACCCCGCUCCGCCCCCAUCAUCUGAACGCCCAUUUCAGGAGCCACCACUUCCGAUGAGCUCCAGAUAUGUUGUCGUUUUCUUUGCAUGACCCAAAUGUGGGAGCUGUCAGUCCUCAUUGUUGGACUUGGUUUUACUGUGCCGUCCUGCCUUUAUAUUCCUCACUGUUUUCUGUGGGUGGGGUUCCAUUUUUCAAUUUUGAGUUCUCCCUUUCAAUCAAGUUACAAUUGAUCUGCCACUUUUUGUAGCCCUAUUCUGUAGCCAAGCCGGAGCAGAUGGAAUUCCCUAAAAACCUCUGGUACCAUACAACUGGACUCCCAACAGUUGUUAUCUUUACUUCUGUCAUGAAAUAUUGAACUUUUGUAAAUACUGUAUCACAUCAUGGACCUCAUACCCUCAGAUCCACCAAGACCUUCUCAAUGUACUGUGCCAAUGAAUGAGAUUUGUUUGCAGAAGCAUACUUCUUACAUUUGACUGGAUCGUGUUGUAAAGAUAGACAGAAAACGCACCAAGUUCUGUUGGACUUUCUCCUGCUUGAUUUUGUUAAAAAGACUGUAAGUUGCCCACUUCUGUUGGACUGGUCGCUUUAACCAGGAAGGAUCAAAUUCAGGCAAAAACAGGAAAACAUCUCUCCUUUCAGCCUGCUGUGCAUUUGUCUGAUGACGCAUCAUUUUCUUUGCUUUUUUUUUUAUUACAUUCCAUUCAUAUUUUUGUGCCACUAUUUUUGGUUUUGAAGAGGGAUGCACAUAAUUAGCUCGUCUGCUUCUCUCGUACAGUGCAUGAUAAUAUUAAUCAAGAAGCAACUUGCAAAUACAAUGACUCACCACCAUGGAUGAAUAGACCUGAGCCUUGGGAAUCAAAAGACAAAAUGCUCCUGAAGCCAGAAAUUUUUUAAAACAGAAAAUAUUAUACCCGCAACUCCCCACUUUUGACUUUUGAUCGGGAAACUACCAAGCAGACUUAAACUGAACCAUGCUUCCAAAGAUGAAAUAACCCAUACAUUUAAAAACCAUCCAUCUAUCCAUUUUCUUAGCCGCUUAUCCUCACAAGGGUCACGGGGAGUAUUAGAGCCUAUCCCAGCUGUCAACGGGCAGGAGGCGGGGUUUACCCUGAACUGGUUGCCAGCCAAUCGCUGAGCACAUCAAGACUAAUAGCCACACUCACAAUCACACCUAGGGGCAAUUUAGAGUGUCCAAUUAAUGUUGCAAAGUUUUUGGGACGUGGUAGGAAACCGGAGUGCCCGGAGAAAACUCACGCAGGCACGGGGAGAACAUGCAAACUCCACAUAGGCGGAUCUGGUAUUUAACCUUGUACCUCAGAACUGUGCGGCCAACGCUUUCUAGCCGAGUCACCGUGCUGCCAGUUUAAAAGCCAAAACACAAAAGAAGUUCAAAUAGAUGUAUUCACAAUUGGUUUUAAAAUUAUGAAUGUUGUUCUAGGUAAAAGACAAACUAAGGACUUUAGACCUCAAAACCAAAUGUUU